ACAUUAGACUACCCCUGUACGUCCCAGCCGUAAACUAUGCGCGUUAGGUGUAUCGGUGACCACGAGUUACCGAGGUGCCGAAGGGAAGCCGUAGAAGCGAGCCACCGUGGGAAAGUACGGGCCGACAAGGCUAGAAACUUAAAGGAAUUGGCGGGGAGCACCACAACAGGUGGAGCCUGCGGUUUAAUUGGACUCAACGCCGGGAAGCUCACCGGAUAGGACAGCAGAACGAUUGCCGGGCUGAAGACCCUGCAUGACUAGCUG
rnacentral:rRNA from 1 species